AACGCAUAUUGCGCCCUCUGGUAUUCCGGAGGGCAUGCCUGUUCGAGCGUCAUUAUAAUCUCUCAAGUGAAAUUUUUUGCUUGGUCAUGGGUCCUCGCCUCCCCUGAGGCGUACCUGAAAAUUAGCGGCGGUGCAGCUGGUCCUCGAGCGCAUUAAGAUAACAUCGCUACGGGGGGCUUCCAGGUUCUGCUCCAGCCGGAUUGAAAUUUUUUUAUUCCAAUGAUUGACCUCGGAUCAGGUAGGGAUACCCGCUGAACUUAA
rnacentral:misc_RNA from 1 species